CACGUAGGGUGCGAGCGUUGUCCGGAAUUAUUGGGCGUAAAGAGCUUGUAGGCGGUUUGUCGCGUCUGCUGUGAAAUCCCGAGGCUCAACCUCGGGCCUGCAGUGGGUACGGGCAGACUGGAGUGCGGUAGGGGAGAAUGGAAUUCCUGGUGUAGCGGUGGAAUGCGCAGAUAUCAGGAGGAACACCGAUGGCGAAGGCAGUUCUCUGGGCCGUAACUGACGCUGAGGAGCGAAAGCGUGGGGAGCGAACAGG
rnacentral:rRNA from 1 species